rnacentral:rRNA from 1 species
UAGGGAAUCUUCGGCAAUGGACGAAAGUCUGACCGAGCAACGCCGCGUUAGUGAAGAAGGUUUUCGGUUCGUAAAACUCUGUUGUUAGCGAAGAACAAGGACGUUAGUAACUGAACGUCCCCUGACGGUAUCUAACCAGAAAGCCACGGCUAACUACGUGCCAGCAGCCGCGGUAAUACGUAGGUGGCAAGCGUUGUCCGGAUUUAUUGGGCGUAAAGCGAGCGCUGGCGGUUUCUUAAGUCUGAUGUGAAAGCCCCCGGCUCAACCUGGGAGGGUCAUUGGAAACUAGGAGACUUGAGUGCAGAGAAGGAGAGUGGAAUUCCAUGUGUAGCGGUGAAAUGCGUAGAUAUAUGGAGGAACACCAGGGGCGAAGGCGGCUCUCUGGUCUGUAUCUGACGCUGAGGCUCGAAAGCGUGGGGAGCAAACAGG